GGUCAAGCUACAAAGGGCUAACGGUGGAUUCCUAGGCACACAGAGGCGAUGAAGGACGUGGCGACCCACGAAAGGCUUCGGGGAGCUGGAAGCMAGCUUUGAGCCGAAGAUGUCCGAAUGGGGCAACCCAGAAACAGCUCGCUGAAUCCAUAGGCGAGUAUGAGCGAACCCGGUGAACUGAAACAUCUUAGUAGCCGGAGGAAGAGAAAGCAAUAGCGAUUUCCCAAGUAGUGGUGAGCGAACGGGAAACAGCCUAAACCAAUGGGAUUUCCCGUUGGGGUUGUGGGACAGUCAUCAGAGACCGCCGAGGCUAGACGAAGCAGUUGAAUACUGCACCAGAGAAGGUGAAAGUCCUGUAGUCGAAAGCCAAAACGGCUCGACUGUAUCCCGAGUAGCACGGAGCCCGUGAAAUUCCGUGUGAAUCUGCCUCGACCACGAGGUAAGGCUAAAUACUCCUGUGUGACCGAUAGAGAACCAGUACCGUGAGGGAAAGGUGAAAAGAACCCCGGGAGGGGAGUGAAAUAGAACCUGAAACCGUUAGCCUACAAGCAGUGGGAGGACGAUUUAACGUCUGACCGCGUGCCUGUUGAAGCAUGAGCCGGCGAGUUACAAGUUAUGGCAGGUUAAGACCGAAUAGGUUGCAGCCCAAGCGAAAGCGAGUCUGAAUAGGGCGUUACGUCAUAAUUUGUAGACCCGAACCCGGGUGAUCUAACCAUGUCCAGGAUGAAGCUUGGGUAAAACCAAGUGGAGGUCCGAACCGACCGAUGUUGAAAAAUCGGCGGAUGAGGUGUGGUUAGGGGUGAAAUGCCAAUCGAACCCGGAGCUAGCUGGUUCUCCCCGAAAUGCGUUGAGGCGCAGCGGUUGAGGUUUAAACCUGGGGGUAAAGCACUGUUUCGGUGCGGGCUGCGAGAGCGGUACCAAAUCGAGACAAACUCUGAAUACCAGGGGAACACUCAACCAGUGAGACGGUGGGGGAUAAGCUUCAUCGUCAAGAGGGAAACAGCCCAGACCACCAGCUAAGGUCCCCAAAUCACUACUAAGUGAUAAAGGAGGUGGGAGUGCCCAGACAACCAGGAGGUUUGCCUAGAAGCAGCCAUCCUUAAAAGAGUGCGUAAUAGCUCACUGGUCAAGCGCUCCUGCGCCGAAAAUGAACGGGGCUAAGUAGUGUACCGAAGCUGUGGAAUAGGCAACUAUUGGUAGGGGAGCGUUCUGUAGUAGUGUGAAGCACUAGCGGCAAGCAGGUGUGGACGAAUCAGAAGUGAGAAUGUCGGCUUAAGUAGCGAAAAUGUGGGUGGAGAAUCCCACACCCCGAAACCCUAAGGGUUCCUCCGGACGGCUCGUCCGCGGAGGGUUAGUCAGGACCUAAGGCGAGGCUGAAAAGCGUAGUCGAUGGACAACGGGUUAACAUUCCCGUACCGUUUGCAGUUGAUGAAGGGGGACGAAGUAGGUGUUCGUCAUCCGGAUGUUGGUUACCGGUGCAAGUGUUCGAGGUGUUGAGGUCUGGUGAAAACAGACUGAGCUGAGGCACGAGUCCGACCCGCUACGGCGGGGAAGUGAUAGUCAUCAGGCUUCCUAGAAAAGCCCUAUACAUCUUAAACUGUAAAUGCCUGUACCCGAAACCGACACAGGUGGGGUGGUUGAGAAUACUAAGGGGCGCGAGGUAACUCUCUCUAAGGAACUCGGCAAAAUGGCUCCGUAACUUCGGGAGAAGGAGUGCCUGCCGAAAGGUAGGUGGCACUGAAGAGGCCCAGGCGACUGUUUACCAAAAACACAGGUCUCCGCUAAGUCGCAAGACGAUGUAUGGGGGCUGACGCCUGCCCAGUGCCGGAAGGUUAAGGAAGUCGGUUAGGAGUAAUCUGAAGCUGAUGACCGAAGCCCCGGUGAACGGCGGCCGUAACUAUAACGGUCCUAAGGUAGCGAAAUUCCUUGUCGGGUAAGUUCCGACCCGCACGAAAGGCGUAACGAUCUGGGCGCUGUCUCGGAGAGAGACUCGGCGAAAUAGAAUUGUCUGUGAAGAUACGGACUACCUGCACCCGGACAGAAAGACCCUAUGAAGCUUUACUGUAGCCUGGAAUUGGGUUCGGGCUUCGCUUGCGCAGGAUAGGUGGGAGGCUGUGAAGAAUUCCUUGUGGGGGAUUCUGAGCCAUCGGUGAGAUACCACUCUGGCGAAGCUAGAAUUCUAACCUUUUCCCGUUAUCCGGGAAAGAGACAGUUUCAGGGGGGCAGUUUGACUGGGGCGGUCGCCUCCUAAAUGGUAACGGAGGCGCGCAAGGGUUCCCUCAGGCUGGUUGGAAAUCAGCCGUAGAGUGCAAAGGCAUAAGGGAGCUUGACUGCAAGACCUACAAGUCGAGCAGGGACGAAAGUCGGCCUUAGUGAUCCGACGGUGCUGCGUGGAAAGGCCGUCGCUCAACGGAUAAAAGUUACUCUAGGGAUAACAGGCUGAUCUCCCCCAAGAGUUCACAUCGACGGGGAGGUUUGGCACCUCGAUGUCGGCUCAUCGCAACCUGGGGCGGUAGUACGUCCCAAGGGUUGGGCUGUUCGCCCAUUAAAGCGGUACGUGAGCUGGGUUCAGAACGUCGUGAGACAGUUCGGUCCAUAUCCGGUGCAGGCGUAAGAGCAUUGAGAGGAGCCUUCCCUAGUACGAGAGGACCGGGAAGGACGCACCGCUGGUGUACCUGUUAUCGUGCCAACGGUAUACGCAGGGUAGCCAUGUGCGGAGCGGAUAACCGCUGAAAGCAUCUAAGUGGGAAGCCCACCUCAAGAUGAGUGCUCUCACUGGGUUAGCCAGGUAAGGUCACGGGAAGAUUACCCGUUAAUAGAUGUCAGGUGGAAGUCCAGUAAUGGAUGUAGCCGAGGCACACUAAUAGACCGAGGGCUUGACCU
rnacentral:rRNA from 2 species